UACAGGGGAGAAGAGGUAGAAGGAUUAACCGACAUCAACAUAAGUAGGGAGCUCGUGAUUAGACAGAUAGAUAGAUUUAAAGUCACUAAGGCGCCAGGGCCAGAUGAACUUUUCCCCAGGGUAAUAAAGGAAUGUGAAACUGAAAUAAGUGGGCAGUUAACAGAAGUAUUUAGGAAGUCACUAGACACAGGGGUGGUGCCUGUUUCAUGGAGGCAGGCACACGUUAUUCCAAUAUUUAAGAAGGGAGACAAAUCUUCUAUGGAGAACUAUAGGCCGAUUAGUUUGACGUCAGUUAUAGAUAAAAUGAUUGAGUCAAUAAUAGCUGAUAGUAUUAGGGACCAUAUUGACAGACAUAAUUUAAUUCACGACUCACAGCAUGGGUUUACUAAAGGAAAGUCGUGUCUCACUAAUCUUUUAUCCUUUUACAAUUGAGUAUACGAGGCAGCUGACAAUGAUGAGAGCUAUGAUGUGGUUUAUCUUGAUUUUAGUAAGGCCUUCGAUAAGGUACCUCACCAGAGACUGUUAAAUAAAGUCAGGGCUCAUGGGAUAAGAGGGAAGGUAUUUGAUUGGAUUAAGGCGUGGAUUAGCGACAGGAAACAGAGGGUUACCAUUAACAGUAAAAAAUCCGAAUGGGGUAAUGUUACCAGUGGGGUUCCUCAAGGUUCAGUUUUAGGCCCGCUUUUAUUCAUUAUCUACAUCAAUGACAUUGACAAUGGGAUAACUAGUGACAUAGGCAAAUUUGCAGAUGACUCCAAAAUAGGACGCACUAUUAGGACAGGGGAGGAUGCUAGAGCACUGCAGGAGGAUCUCAACAAACUGUCAGCUUGGUCAGAGAAAUGGCAGAUGAAUUUUAACAUCACCAAGUGUAGCGUACUUAGUGUAGGAACACGCAACCCAUUACACGGGUAUAGUUUAGACUCCACAGCGAUAGGCAGAUCAGAGUGUGAAAGGGAUUUGGGAGUGUUAGUGAACUCUGACCUAAAACUAAGGAAGCAAUGUAUUAGUGCGAGGAAUAGGGCUAACAGGGUAUUAGGCUUUAUUAACAGGACGGUAACCAACAGGAGUGCAGAGGUCAUCCUCAGACUCUAUUUAGCGUUAGUUAGGCCACACUUAGAUUAUGCUGUCCAGUUUUGGUGCCCACACUACAGAAUGGACAUCAACUUGCUAGAAUCAGUUCAGAGGAGGAUGACCAAGAUGAUUCAGGGGCUGAGGAACCUCCCAUAUCAAGAUAGGCUGAAACAUCUCAACUUACAUUCACUAGAAAGACGAAGAGUGCGGGGAGAUCUGAUAGAAGUAUUCAAAUGGGUCAAGGGUUAUAACAAAGGCGAUAUAAGUAAAGUAUUGAGAAUUAGCCAGCAGGAUAGAACACGCAGUAAUGGAUUUAAAUUAGAAAAGUAUAGAUUUAGGAGAGAUAUAGGCAAGCAUUGGUUUAGUAAUAGGGUGGUGGGGGAAUGGAAUAGACUCAGCAAUCACAUAGUUAGUGCAGGGACGAUAGCUUGUUUUAAGAGUAGACUGGAUAGCUACAAGGACGAGGAUGACAGGUGGCAGUGAGGUGUGGGUGCAGUAAGGUGACAGGGUACUGGAGCGUACGCCCGUACCGAAGGUAAACGAGGAUCAAGCCUCUACCUGUAACCCCUGAAACUACACCUCACCCAUCGUGAGUAGUGGGGGGGAUUCUGGAGCUGCCCUGUGUAGGCCACCCGGCCUCUUGCAGUUUCCCUAUGUUCUUAUGUUCUUAUGUACUAGUGCUAUUAGAAGCCCCGAACACCAACCUUUCUCUCUGCAGGUGUGCGUGCGUGCGUGCGUGCGUCAUGUCUGCCUCACACCUGGACAAGCUGAUGACCCACCUGGGCACGGGCAGGUGGAGCGUCUUCCACUUCCUAGCGCUCUCUUACAGUAACAUGUUAAUCACGCCGCACACCUUCGGAAGACCUUUUCUGGCACCCAAACUGGACUUCACCUGCAUCAGUGACGCCUACAACACUACUACUGCUACUACUACUACUGCUACUGCUAUUACUACUACUACUGCUAUGUUUCCUACUGACUUGUAUAACCUAACUGAAGUGGACCAGUGCUUCGAGGCGGACGGAGUGACACCCUGCACGGAAUGGUCCUUCGACAGCACCACUUAUACCUCCACCAUUACCGCGGAGAUGCAGCUGGUGUGUAGCCGAGAGCACCUCCGCACGGCCUACCAGAGCGUCUACCUCGUCGGAGUCUUCUUCGGCGCCCCCGUCAGUGGCUUUCUGGCUGACAGGUAUGGUCGUCGCAGGAUGGUGUGUUGGAGCAUUUUCCUAUACGUGGUUCUGUCUAUCGCCUCGGCCUGGCUGCCUGGUAUUGGGUCCAUCCUAGUGACCCGUUUCAUACUAGGAUUCCUGCACGCUGUCCUGCUCCUGGUGACGUAUAUAUUGGUGGUGGAGAUCGCUGAGCCGCGGAGGAGGUCGCUGCUGGGGCUGACCGUCUACAUCGUGUUCGCCCUCAGCGUGGUAGCCUGGGGGGGAGUGGCUUACGCCCUGAGGGACUGGCGCAUCCUGCAGACCGUGGCGUCCCUGCCCGGCUUGUUGCUGCUGCCCUGCUUGUGGUUCCUGGACGAGUCGCCGCGGUGGCUGGCGGUGCAGGGCCGCGCGCACGACGCCUUGGCGGUGCUCCGGAAGGCAGCGAGAUGGCACGGCGCGAAGAUGCCCAAAGACGUCGAGGUGCUGGCCAUGCUGAGGGCAGAGGCCGCCACCACCGCCGCCGCCGCCGCCGUCAACAGACCGCACCAGACAGCCCCAAAGACCUUCAAGACCAGACUGCGGGCUUUCCUGAAGGAGUCUGUUCUGCUAAUGAGCACGCCAUACCUACGAAAAAUCAGCCUCCUCAUGUUCGUGGUCUACAUGUUCGCUUCCAUGGUCUACUUCGGGCUCUCCCUUAGCGGCGGGACCCUCAGUGACAACCCCUUCGUGUACAUGUCGUUAGCGGGGCUGAUGGAGGUCCCCGCGUAUACCCUGACCGUGCCCGUGGUGGAUAGGUUAGGUCGGCGCUGGCCCGGGGUGGCUUGCUUCGUCUUCUGCGGGUUGGCCCUUCUGGCGUUGGCGGCUAUUCCUGAAGAGCAGAGCCAAGUGGUGAUGACCCUGGCGCUGCUGGGUAAGAUGACAAACUCCGUGGCGUUCAUGAUCUUCUACUUCCAAUCCUCCGAGCUCUCCCCGACGGAGGUCCGCUCGAGGGGUCUUGGAACCUGCCAGUGUUGGUCGCGAAUUGGAGGCAUCCUGGCGCCGUAUAUACUGGACUUUGUGGGUGCCUCACGCCCCUGGGCUACCUCCGUGGUCUUCGGCGCCGGGUCCCUCCUCGCUGCCCUCUGUGUUUACCUACUCCCGGAGACCAAGGGCGUGGCGCUCCCCGACACGGUGGCUAAAAGCGAAGACCCCCACCACCACCACCGCCACCGCCACCACCAACUGAUUCAACACCGCCGUGGGUCUAAUCUAGGCUCUCAACACCGCUAUGAUGAGGACGAGGAGGGUUAUUAAGUGGAGGUGAUUUAAGGCUUUCAACAUCACUUUUGGAGUUGACAUCACCACCACCGCCACCACCAACUGAUUCAACACCGCCGUGGGUCUAAUCUAGGCUCUCAACACCGCCAUGAUGAGGAGGACGAGGAGGUUUAUUAAGUGAAGGUGAUUUAAGGCUUUCAACACCACUUUUGGAGUUGACAUCACCACCACCAACAACAACAACUUAUUCAACACCGCCGUGGGUCUAAUCUAGGCUCUCAACACCGCUAUGAUGAGGAGGACGAGGAGGGUUGUUAAGUGGAGGUGAUUUAAGGCUUUCAACACCACUUUUGGAGUUGACAUCACCACCACCACCACCACCACCAUGAUCAACACCACCAUGAUGACGAGGACGAUUACCAAGUGGGGAUUUAAUCUUUCAACACCACCAGUCACCACCAUCACCACCACCAUCACCGUCAACACCAGCGCCUUCAACACCGCCGUGGGUCCAAUUUUGGUUCUCAACACCACUAUGACGAGGAGGGUUACUAGGGCUUUCAACACCAUUAUUGGAGUUCACACCACCACCACAUCCAAAAGUCAUCACCACUUCAACACCACCACCACCACCACCAUUAUGAGAAGGUGUUAAAUAAGAGGAAAGAAAAAAGGAAAAUGAGAAGAAGAGGAAGAAGAAGAAGAAGAAGAAGAAGAAGAAGAAGAAGAAGAAGAAAAAGAGGAGGAGGAUGAAAAAGAAAGAGAAGAUGAAGAUGAUGAUGAUGAUAAUAAUAAUAAUAAUAAUAAUAAUAAUAAUAAUAAUAAUAAUAAUAAUAAUAAUAAUAAUAAUAAUAAUAAUAAUAAUAAUAAUAAUAAUAAUAAUAAUAAUGUAAUUUGUGUAACUGAUAUAAUGUACACAAUAGCAGUAAUAAUAAUAACAAUAACACUAACAAUAACACACAUAAUAAUAA